UACGUAGGGGGCAAGCGUUGUCCGGAAUCAUUGGGCGUAAAGCGCACGUAGGCGGCUCGUUAAGUCGGGUGUGAAAGCCCUGGGCUCAACCCAGGAAGUGCAUUCGAAACUGGCGAGCUUGAAUAUGGAAGAGGGUCGCGGAAUUCCCGGUGUAGAGGUGAAAUUCGUAGAUAUCGGGAGGAACACCAGUGGCGAAGGCGGCGACCUGGGCCAAUAUUGACGCUGAGGUGCGAAAGCGUGGGGAGCAAACAGG
rnacentral:rRNA from 1 species